rnacentral:rRNA from 1 species
ACUCCUACGGGAGGCAGCAGUGAGGAAUAUUGGACAAUGGAGGCAACUCUGAUCCAGCCAUGCCGCGUGUAGGAAGACGGCCCUAUGGGUUGUAAACUACUUUUGUACGGGAAGAAAUACAGUCACGUGUGAUUGUUUGACGGUACCGUAAGAAUAAGCACCGGCUAACUCCGUGCCAGCAGCCGCGGUAAUACGGAGGGUGCAAGCGUUAUCCGGAAUCAUUGGGUUUAAAGGGUCCGUAGGCGGGUAAUUAAGUCAGUGGUGAAAUGCAGGGGCUCAACUCCGGCACUGCCAUUGAUACUGGUUAUCUUGAAUUAUUGUGAAGUGGUUAGAAUAUGUAGUGUAGCGGUGAAAUGCUUAGAUAUUACAUAGAAUACCGAUUGCGAAGGCAGAUCACUAACAAUAUAUUGACGCUGAUGGACGAAAGCGUGGGAGCGAACAGGAUUAGAUACCCCUGGUAGGAUAGCG